CCUCCCCUCACAUUCCCCUUCCCUAACCUAGCUCCCUUCCUCGCUGCCUCCUCCCCUCCCGCCGCCGCCUCUGCCCGUCCUGCUCCCGUCCUGCUCCCGUCCUCUUUUUCUCCUCCCCUCCCAUUGCCCAUCCGCCCUGGCCCAUCUCCUCCCCGCCAGCCGAGCCCUCCCGCCGCCGCCACCGCCCGUCCUGCUCCCUUCCUCUCUGUCUCCUCCCCUCCCAUCACCCAUCCGCCCUGGCCCAUCUCCUCCCCGUCUGCUGAGCGGCCGCGGCCGCUCGUGGUGCUGCUCUACCGGAGGAGUGUGCCACAAAAGCGGCCGAGCGUGAGGUGCCAGCAGACCGCACCGGUGGCCGCCGCCAUGGGGACCGAUGAGGGCAUCAUGAUGAGGUGAAUAUCGUGCUCUCUCUCUCUCUCAUCGAUGCUUCUUCCAUCUCCCGUCGUGCAGGUUGCCGCUGCGUCCAUAGCAGAGGGGAUCCGGCCGGCAUGCCGCGUCAAACCUUGCUCCAAGCCUGCAUCUACUACCUCGCCAGGUGACAGGAGGGGGCAGCUCAAACAGGAAAUUGCUGAAAUCACAGAGGAGCAUGGAAAGAUCGAUGAGGCUACUGAAAUCAAGCAGGAAGUUGUUGAAAUGCAUUGGACUAUCCGCUCUACAGCAUGGAUUGGGUGGCCAGACUCUGCGUCCGUGUAUCUCUCCUGUGGCAUUAUCGUGGUGGUCUUGAAAUUGGCCCCGUCAAGCUUAUACACAUGGUUCUCGUUGAUGAGUGAUGCCCAUAGGAUAGCUCCAUCAGAGAAAACACCUCCACACACCCCUCUGCAGCCAUGAACAAACACAAUGGAUUGUGUGCAUCUUCUAAAGAAACAGGGAAGGGAAGCGUUGUCUGUAGAUCACUUUUCCCUUGAAAAAAAUAGAAAGAGACGAGCUUACCAUCGAUGUUACAAUUGAAUGGAGGGGAACCCCUUUGCUGUGUUGCUCUACAAAAAAACACCUCAAAGUUUCACACCUUUUGGAUCCUACCUUUUUGUACCUUCUCAAGACCUGUUAUUCAGCUCAUGUGCAUAUUAUGACCCGUGUCAUCUGAUGUAGGGUGGGACCCUAUAGAUCUUUCACGUUUGGAGUGGAUCGUACGGGGAAUCACGAAGAGCACGCGGAAGCACAAAGGGAAACACGGGGAAAACGAGAGAGAGAAUCACUAAACCAACAAGGAAUCGAUCACACAAGUGCUAGAUGACCACACACAUAAGAGAUACACGAGAUCCAAAGUCAACACAGACUGUAGGUACUGCUGACCGUAAAGCUAUAAAUCCAGCUCUGCAUGCUUUUGUCCGUGCAACUAAGAUCAAUUUUCCGAUUCAUUUAUUGUGAAAUCUUAUUCUACAAGAGGCAAAAGGUCAUUUCUAUUUGUUCUUAAUCUUAAUAUGUAUUCCUGCCUCCGAUACCCUCACAAAUUUAAUGGAUUCUCCUGUUAUUAUUUUCUUAUAGUUUUAUCUGGAGCAUUGGCAUCUCUAGCCGAGCCGCGCAAGCAGAAAGCGGAGCAGGAGCAGCUCGGGGAGGAAGCCAAGGUCUAAAAUGCCGAAUCUCCCAAUAAAGUGUAGAUCCGUGUGUCACAACAUGCAAGCAAAUCAAAUGAAGGAGUGUGGACAAAGUUAUAUAUCAAGCAAAUCGAAUGAAGGCGUGUGGACAAAGUUAUAUAUGCAAUAGUCAACCAUGUAGUUUACUAUUGUGCAGUAUGAAAAAUAGUGUAAAUAAGUUAUCUGAGACUAAUACUAUGGCCUGCUUUUGGUUUCUAUCAUACCAAACGUUGCUUUGGUAUUUCAUGUCACAUUGUAUAACAAAUGUGCCGAUGGCAUGUAGAUAGGGCCAUGUUUUUAGAUAUUUUACGAGGUGAUUACUGUUGUGAGUAUCUACCAUCACCUACUCUUUGAGUAAUAUCAUAUAUAUUUCCAUCCUGGGGUAUAUUGAGUAAUAUCA